GACUGGGUGGCAGAAUGGUAAUGCACCUUCUUUGCACGGAGGGUCACGUCGGUUCAAUUCCGACCCCAGUCU
rnacentral:tRNA from 1 species